UACAGAGACCUCAAGCGUUAUCCGGAAUCAUUGGGCGUAAAGCGUACCGAUAGGUGGUUUGAAAAGCCAGAUGUGAAAUCUCCGAGCUUAACUCGGAACUUGUCAUUUGGAACUUUCAGACUUGAGGGGCAAAGAGGAAGCUGGAACGAACGGUGUAGUAGUGAAAUGCGUUGAUAUCGUUCGGAACACCAAUAGCGUAGGCAAGCUUCUGGGUGCCACCUGACACUGCUAGGACGAAAGCGUGGGGAGCGAAUGGG
rnacentral:rRNA from 1 species